rnacentral:rRNA from 1 species
GACGAACGCUGGCGGCGUGCUUAACACAUGCAAGUCGAACGGAAAGGCCCUGCUUUUGUUGGGUGCUCGAUUGGCGAACGGGUGAGUAACACGUGAGUAACCUGCCCUUGACUUUGGGAUAACUUCAGGGAACUGGGGCUAAUACCGGAUAGGAGCUCCUGCUGCAUGGGGUGGGUUGGAAAGUUUCGGCUGUGGGGGAUGGACUCGCGGGUUAUUAGCUUGUUUGGCUGGUAGUGGCUUACCAAGGCUUUGAAGGGUAGGCGGCCUGAGAGGGUGACCGGGCACAUUGGGACUGCGAUACGGCCCAGACUCCUACGGGAGGCAGCAGUGGGGAAUAUUGCACAAUGGGCGGAAGCCUGAUGCAGAAACGCUGCGUGCGGGAUGACGGCCUUCGGGUUGUAAACCGCUUUCGCCUGUGACGAAGCGUGAGUGACGGUAAUGGGUAAAGAAGCACCGGCUAACUACGUG